AUUAUAGCAGCAUUAUAAAGAACGACGAGGCCAAAUUGUUUUUCCUCAAUCAAAUCUACUUCUACUGCUUCAAAUGAUUUCCGCCGGCGUAAACUACUCAGCUAUUGCUAGAGCAAAUUGGCAAAAAAAAAAGCUAUACCCAAUUGUACAAUUAAAUAACCAAACAAUAAAAAGAGGAGUUAUUGCACUUAAUCAAUUAUGAGGAAGAAUGCACUUGGAGUCUCCAAAAUCACUUAUUUUCCCUUCGAAAUUGAGAUGGCCUUCCAAAUCUGUAUGGUCGAUAAUUGCUGCUGCAUAGAAGUAGAGAAAUAGUAUUCAGAUCAUAAAUCAAAUCAAAUUUAGAGGGUGAAUAUUCUCGAGAUUUUCAAUUUCCCGGGAGUCGAGAGUUGAAUUUCCCAGAAAUUCCCGGAACCCUGUAGUUUUUUUUUACUAUGCCAAUAGUGACAACAUUUAAAAAGAAAAGUUAUAAAUUUGUUUCGUUUCAAUGAUUUCAGUUACCAUUAGUUCAUACUUUUUCUAUGAAACGUUAAUUUAAGUAUCCUUAUUACUUUGAGAAACUAUAUAGUUUACUACACUGCCGUUCUACGCAUAAUUGUCCCAUGUUCAAAAAAGUGCAACUGAGAAAAACGCAAUUGAAAUUUUUCGACCGAGUUCUGUGUUUCUACGCAUAAUUGUCCCGUGGGUUCCUAUUCGUCCUAUGUGUCCCUAAUCGCCCCAGUUAGCAGUUUAUCACCCUUAUUUGUGAUCCUCUUGCUAUACAACAGGUAAACAAGGCAUAAUGCUUAGUAAAACUAAUGAUUCCAUGUAAGAAAAUACUUGGUGGGACAAUUAUGCGUAGAAGUUCAACGAUGGGACAAACAGACUUGGUGUUGUUUUUGAUGAGUUUCCGAACAAAGUAUACCAGAUUCUAUGUGUUUUUCUUAAAGUACACAUCAAACUAAACUUAAAAAUGGCCUAAAGUCAAAAUUUGGUCAAAAUCGUCAAAAACUGACAUGGGACAAUUAUGCGUAGAACGGCAGUACAGUAGUUUAAAAUAUUUACGAAUCUUAAUUUGCACUGAGUGCAAUUUUUGCAAUUUUUGUGAAGCAGAAACAUGCCUAAUAUAUAAUUUCCCAGUAUCGAGAUUUUUGCAAUAUGAUAAAUAACGACUCAAAAGUUUAAACUUGUUUUUAUUUAUCUUUAAAAAGCAUAGGAAAGAAAAACUCUAUAAUUUUUGGAAAAUUUUAGUGUUGGAAGUUUGACUUGUUUUAUGUGACUUUGCCAAUGUAUUUAAAAAUGUUAUUUUUCAGGGGUCAACUUUGGCUGUAUUUUUUACUAACAUUUCCUCUAUAUUAUGUGAAAAUUAGUAUGCAGUAUUUUUUGUAGUGUCCCAGACUAUGCCUCUGCGAAUUUUUUUACAAUUAAAAUGAUAAUAGUGCCAUUCUACAGCAGAAAAUGUGAAAAACAAGCAAAAAAUGAAAAAGUGACUGUAAAAACAUGAAAAAAUAGGUAGGCGAAAAGUAAUAAAAGCAGGUGGUAGUAUAGGCCAAACACUACCAAAAACAAACAUAAACAAAACAGGAUAAAUGCAAAAUAAAAUACUAAAAAUAAAACAAGAAAAACAUAAAACAUGAGAAGUAAAGUUUUUCGUAGAACAAAAGGUGCUCAAAAUGACUUUCUAAUAAACAAGGGAAAAAUAAAAAUUUUCGAAAAAAAUAUGGACAGUAGAGGGUUAAGGUCAACUGUAAACAUUCAUUGAAGAAAUAUUGAAAGUUAUCAGGAAAACCGGAAUGUUCACAAUUGGCGGACAUUAACUUUAAAGAUUGCCACUGUCAGAGUUUUUUUUGCCAAAAUAUAAUUUAAUAUUGAGGUUGACGUGAAACAUAAAAUGCCUUAUUGACAUCAAAAAAAGAAACAGCAAAAUCAACUUCGGUAUACCUAAAAUUAAAAAAAAAUCUGCGGAUUGGUUUGCUCGAGAAAGGAUAUGGAAAUUGAACUUUUCUUUAAAAAGCUUUUCCCUCUUAAAUAAUAAUAAAAAACAUUAGAUUUCAUUUCUGGAUGUAACUACUAAGUAUGCUUUAAGUUAAAUUUUGAGUUAUUGGAAUAUUUAAAAAGUUAAAAUUUACAGUUUCUGAAUGUUUAUUCAAACAUGAACAUCGAACAUUGAACAUCCAAUAUUCCAAACAAUUUAAAAAAAAUUAAAUAAUUUUCGGAUUAGUUUAUAUAAUUUAGCUUCAGUAUUUAUAUGUUUGAAAUUUCCCGGGAGGCUCGACCGAAUUUCCCGGGAAUCGAGAGAUCCAAAAAUUGUCGAUUUCCCGGGAAUUGGGUCCUAAAAUGAAGCUUAGAUUGCUGAUAUUAUUGUUUACAGCGAUAAAGCUUUUUUUCUGAGUACAAUGACCCUUUGUACGACCACAAAGAGUUUAAAAUGGAUUUUUAAAUCAAUUUGGAAAAAUUAACCUCGCGGUCCUUCUUGACAGAAAAGUUCCUACUUGACAGCUCGUUCCAAGGGGACCAUAGUUGAUCCAUCGAAAAAAUGUUGCCUUGUCAAAAAAAAAUUGCAUUAAAAUGAAAAAAAAGUGAUCAGAAAUGGUUUUUAAUCGUGUUUUUUACCGUUUUAUGUUUUAUGUUUUAUAUGAGGGAAAAGCCCGUUUGAGUGGAACGCCUAUCGAUGGGUCCUUCUCAAAUAGACACAAAACCUCUUAUUUUUUAUACAAUCAAACUUAAGCUAACAAACUAAACUAGCACAAUGUAAAAAAUAAAUAAAUAAAUAAAUAAAACUAACUAAAAAUAAACCGGUCUAAACCUUUGUCAAAACACAUAUGAUUCCCUGAGAAAAUUAAAAAUAUCGUGCUUCAGACGGGGACGAGACAAAUGGAAAUCGAAAAAGGGGUAACAACUUUCAAAAACCCUGCACAUACUAGAAACAGGUUCAUUGAAGGCAUAAUUUGUACGGGCUCCAGGUAUAACGAGAAAAGAGUGUGAGCGAAGCACCCGGCGUCUAAUGUUGACGUUCAGUUCACUCGUAAGAAAAGGACAGUUGAUGUUUGAUCGGAAAAGGUCAGCAACAAAAAAGGCUUUAGCAGCUUCUCUACGAACACUCAAAGGAUCAAGGUGGAGCAUAGAGCAACGAGUUUCGUAAUUGGGUACUAAAGCCCUAUGUAAAUUUUUAUGUACAACGGUAAAAAACACGAUUAAAAACCAUUUGUAAUCACUUUUUUUCAUUUUAAUGCAAAAAAAAAAUAUUUACAAGACAACAUUUUUUCGAUGGAUUAACUAUGGUCCCCUUGGAACGAGCUGUCAAGUAGGAGCUUUUCUGUCAAGAAGGACCGCGAGGAUAAUUUUUCAAAAUUGAUUUAAAAAUCAAUUUUAAACUCUUUGUGGUCGUACAAAGAGUCAUUGUACUCAGAAAAAUAAGCUUUAUCGCUGUAAUCAAUAAUAUCAGCAAUCUAAGCUUCAUUUUAGGACCCAAUUUUAACACUCACCAAGAUGUCUUAAAGCAAAUCUUGUAAAUUUACGUUGAAUCGCUUCGAUUCGUCCAAUGUCAUUAUGAUAAUAUGGAGCCCACACAACUGAACCGUACUCUAGGGUGGAGCGAACUAAGGAAAGAUAGAGAAUUUUUAGGCAAUUGACGUCGCGAAAAUAUUUGGUCAUUCUAAAAAUCAUUCCUAGCUGUUUAGAAGCCUUCGAGCACAAAUAGGAAAUGUGAUUUUUAAAAGAAAGCUUCGAAUCCAACAACACGCCUAAAUCCUUGAAAAAGGAGUCACGAGUACAUAAAAAUUGACAUAGGGCUUUUUUUCCCCCGCUCGUCACCCUCUAAUCAAAUUGUUUGAUCUGCAGCAUUGCUUUGGCGUUCUCGAAUGCGAGAUCCUUACUCGAAACUACACGCAAAACAAACAAUGCGAAUUCUUUGACCAUUGGUAUCGAAAUUUUGAACAUUGAAUAGUCAUAAACGAUCAUGCACAUUCGAUGCUCAAAGCGCGUUGACCAUCCGAUGUUCAUCUUGCUUUGAGUGGGAUUUGACAGUUCGUUUGAUUGUGUGCGUGUCGUCACGCGCAGCUUUUUGGCGUUUACUCUUCAACGCUGCACUAUGGUACAUUGGGUGGCCAAGUUUCAAAAAAGUUACCUUCUCCAAAUAUUUUUUGGUAUUUUUUUCUCGAAUGUAAACAUUCUAACUAAGAAAAAUCCAAAUUUUUAAAGCUCUAAGUUUGUUCAUUACGGAGAUACGCAAGCUGAAAGUCAAAAAAUGGAGUAAAAAACUAGCGUUUUUUUCAUAAAAAAAGGCUGAUUGUUUAAUUUUAACAUAGCUCAGCCAUAUUAAAUAUUUUAUUAGGACAACUAUACAUCGUUGGAAAGGCAAUGAGAUAAGCUUUGAGACUAUUAAUAGAUAAAAUGUUGUUUCCAAACCAAAAACUGAAGUUUUCAUCGAAUAACUGAAGCAUUUUUUUGACAAAACUUAUUUCUUGUGUUGUGUGAGUACCGUCAACUGGGGCGAAUUGGGACACAUGGGGCGAAUUGGGACAGCAGUUUUAACCAUGUCAGAGCACAAUAUUUUUAUUUUUCUGGUUGGUUUCGGAUAGAACAGACUCAGACCAACAAAAUGUGUACACCCAUUUCCAAAUUUAAAACCUUCAAGAGCUCUAAACACUGUUGUCCCUAUUCAGACUGUAGUCCUGAUUCGCCCCAGAUGACGGUACUUUUUUUGCUUACCGAUGCUAAACAUGAAACUAAGAUCACUUGAAAGAUUGGAUCAUGAUCUAACAUUGCUGAAAUUUCCAGCCUGCGAUUUUUUGCGUUUUCGGAGAUAUGCCAUUUAGAACAUUUACGUUUUAUCAAAAUUUGCUGCAAUCUACAUAUGCGCCCGUUUUUUUUUUUAAAUUUAUAUUUAUUCAGAUUUUUUCUUCCAUGUACAUUCAUUCAGUUAAAAUAAUAUUGAGUGUCCAAUCACAAUCGAUGACUUUUCACCUCAAUUUUAAAUACUAGCAAUUUUCAUUUAUUCAUGAAAUAUUGUAGCUUUCGCUAUUCAGUGAUUUCAAAUGUAGGAGGUCCUACAUGUACAAAAGGGAAAAGGGAUAACUUAAAACUAACUUAUAAACUAUAUAAAGAGCGGAUCAAUGCAGCUGAAGACUGCAAUGAUUUUUGUCGAAAUGCAUCAAUUAUCUUAUUGGACAUAACAUCCAAAGUGUCAACUUCGGCUAAUUGAUGAAGUUCACUGGUGCUGAACCAGGGAGGAAGUUUCAGAAUCAUUUUCAGAAUUUUGUUCUGAAUCCUCUGAAGUUUUUUCUUCCUGGUUAAGCAACAGCUUGUCCAGAUCGGCACAGCAUAAAGCAUGGCAGGUCUGAAAAUUUGUUUAUAAAUUAACAGUUUAUUCUUGAGACAAAGUCUAGAAUUCCUGUUUAUAAGUGGAUAAUAUGCGCCCGUUUAUUUCACGUGCUUUGCUACCUACUUCGUGGGCAUCGUCGCUUCAAAAAUCAAUACCUGGUUUCAAGAAGUUCGAAAUGACUUUAUUGGAAUUUUCUGUUGCCUACAUUUAAAAUUGAGUACCUUAGUCAAAAUAAGGUAUUCGUACCGAAGUUUCUCAAGCGAAACAGGAGAAUCUCAGUUUGAUACCGAAAAAAGUAUUCAGCAAAAUAUUGACUCAGCAUGACGAAUUUCUGCGAUCAAUCCAUGAAACUGAUCCACAUUUAAGUUCUAUGUUGGUUAGUACAAAACAUCAUAAAAAGUACCUUUAACAUAUCCUGAAGCCGUCAGAAACUCUAUCAUCAAAUUAAUUUUCAUGAACAAGAACAUUAGGAUUAGUAAGAAUAUGUUUUGUAUUUUAUCGUUUUACUUCAUAAUCAAUAUUUUGAAUAAAAUUAUUUUUAAAUUUUGUUAGAGGGGAGGAGGGGAGGGGGGGGUGAAAGAAAGAGGAGGGAGGGGUUGUGUCCUUAAAGUGGGGAUGUAUUAGCUUAUCCAUAUUCUAACCCACCGGAGGUCGCGUACGUGUACUUUGUACACAGUUUGUAAGGGGGCGGAAGAAAGGCGAAAACAUGCGACUUCCCGAAGGUUAAUAACUGGGUGCUGAAUAGACAGAAUGCGUAACGUGAUUUUCGAAAGCUCCCCAUUGCUCCCCACUUAUACAAAUGCACUACAGCUGUAACCAUAAACAAAUUAGAAGGCUAUGUUCAAGCUCAAGCGUGACAUAUUUUUUGCUGCUAAAGUGAAUUGUUUUGAAACAUUGUGGAUCUGUUAAUGUUAAAGUUUUCGCUAAAAAAUUAAGUGAUUCGCACUUUUUUUGUUUGUAGACUUAACGAUGGGCGGCCAAAAGAGGCCUUUUUGUUUUCCACAAGAUGAAAAAUUAUGUGAGAAGUGGGUGGAAUUUUGUGGAUCAGAAGAGCAACCGAAUAGAAGUUCCGAGGUUAUGUAUCUUUUAAUGAUAGUGAUAAUAUCGGAGUAAAAUUAUUCAAUAGUAUUUGGCAGGUGCCAUUCAUAGUUAUUGAUAAUUCGUCCCUUACAUUUCAAAACGCGUCAUUGAAAAAGGUUUUGCGUGAGACAUACACAGAAAAAAAUAUGUGAAUUUACUCGACACGGAAAAAAUGAAUCACAUGUAAACUCAGUUGAUGUAAACUUGAGAUUCGACGUAAACGGUUGAAUCACACGUAAAAUCAUGUUUUUACGUAUAAUUUGUUGUAAAUUUACAACAAAUUACAUUUAAAUUUAAAUGUUUAAUGACGUGCAAAAGUGUUACAUCAUAAAUGAUGUAACAUUCGGAAAUAUUUUUUUGUGUGUAGCGCUUAUUGAAAUGUAAGCGACGAAUUACGCCAAACUUUAUUUUAACCCUGUUCUUGAAAUAUUUUGACUUCGAAUACCUCAAAAGCUCGACGCCAUCGACUUUUUUUAUUCCUCAAAAUAAAUUAUGGAUCGUACACAAUACUUGCCACUUCUUGCUAUCAUUUCGCGAACAGUAAAUUGGUUCCGCUUUGACAGUUCUAAAUUGAGGCCGUUUUGCGAACCACUAUUCUGCACCCAGGUUAAUAAUAUAAACUUGCAAUACAAUAUAUACGCAAUUCUGUUGCACUUGCAAAUGUAUGAAAAGACUAUUUAUUAUAAACAAUCAACUAUUGAAAGACAUGAAAAGUCAUAAAAAUGGACGUAUAUCAUUUCAAUACCAUACAAUUACCCAAAUUUGUAUGAAAAAAACAUUUAAAAAGCAAAAAAUAAUAAUUUGGCCGCCUGUUUGUAUGGAGAUGGCCCAUAGUGCGUGGUGGCGCUACCGUACCACUAUGGGGUAUCAGGCGGCCAUAAAUCAAAAAAAAAACGACACACUCUAAUUAUUUGUUUGGAAUUUUUUUUCGAUAAUAUACAUUCUAACUAAGAAAUAUUCGGAGUUUGAAUGUUGUAAGUUCAAAAUUCACUGAAUGGCAGGCCUUCAAAGGCGAAAAUGGAAAGACAAAAAAAAUGAUUAUUUUUCAUAGUUGUACUGUGUAGCUGUUUAUGUUUUUUUUCCUGCAUCAUUAUAUAUAUUCAGAAAGGGAAUUGAUUCAUCUUUUUAAUAACAUUUAACAAAGCAUGCUUUUACAGGCUUAAAAAAUACCGUCAGUGGGGGUGACUAUGGGUAAAAAACGAUACACCUCUCGAAAUUUCUUAAUAACAAAAACAAUUUAAAUAACAUCGAAAAUCUUUCAACGUAGAUUUGUUCUUAGAUAGUUUACUAACAUUUUCCCAAAAUAUGGUGGAUUUUGAUGAACACUACCUUAAAUGCCAAUAGUUUGAAAAUUGACCCAAUCUCACCCCUUAGAGGGGGUGACAUUGGGUCAAAUGAAACUAAAAUGAUGCUCAAAUACAACGAUAUGGUAAAAACAAGUCAUCCAACAGCGUUUCUUGUUCGAGGGAAUCGUAUUGACACGCUACAAUGUUUGAAGUGGAGAUUUUCAAACAUUUGGGUAGUUUUCGAGCAAUUCUAACAAAAAUAUUAGAAAAAUGAUUUUUCAAGAGGUCAUUUUUGGCCAAAAACGUACUUUAGACAUCUGCCAAAAUAACAGGAUUUGUUCUAGGAACGAGAUUUUUUCAGCGAAGUCAUCUUAAGAUGUCCCCUACACAACCUUUUUAACAGAAUUCAGUUUCAUUGAAAAUAACCUGAAAAAUGGUAAAAAUCACUUUGACCCAAUCUCACCCCCCAUACCCAAUGUCACCCCCACUGACGGUACUAAAAAUUAAAAAAAGAUGGAUUUUUAUUCAAAAAUUAUUUUUUUUCAACUUUGUUUAUGAAGUAUUUUUUUUUGUGUACAUUUGUGCGAUCUGAAAAUUUCCCAGCUUAAAAUUUGAACCAUGUCCUAACUAACUCAAAGGGGCGUUUCCCCACCUCCAAAUAAAAAACUUGUCACCAAAUUUCAAAGUGCACAAAUGUGCACUUUUUAAGUUAUGCCAUUUUAAACAUUUUGAUUCAUGCGAAAACAUAAUGAUUUCGCGUAUACGCUUGGUUAAAAGCACAUUAUUUUACCUGCGGAGGCAGAAAUAACGUACCUGUUAUGCAUGUUUUGAAAUUGAUUUGAUAUCAUGACUUUUGGUACUUAGAUACCUACGUUUUAUAAAAUUAGAAAUUCCUAUUCUAAGUAUUUUACAGAAACGAUUCAUAUCAGUUCGUUGUUGUGUUCUUUUGAAAGUAUGGAUAAUAAUACCGUAGUGUCCCUGUACGAUGUAACGAAGCACUAUUCUGAAAACGUGAGAACUGCUUUCGAGUAUAUUUGUAAGAAUUACAACAUUGCAGUACAAUCACAUGAUCAACUCAGGGAAAAACCACAGAGGAAAAACUACGCAUGUUGUUCUGUAGCUUCAAAACGAGGUAUACAAAAGCCCAUAGAAGAAGUUCAUAUUUUGAGUAAUCUAACGACAAUCGUUUACAUAGUGAUUUUGAUUUAGAAGAAUUUAUCGUGGAAAACGUGAAUUUAGCAAGUGGAUCAACAAAAACGUGGACGAGAACCCAUAAAAUGUUCCAUAAAAUAAACCGUCUAAAAUUCUAAAACACCGCAAAAAUCGAAUUUUAUUUGGAGGGGGAGGGUCUCCAAAGAGAGGUGGAUUUUAACUCAAGAAGAAGGGGAGGGGGGUUGAACGUUAAUCAGAAACUUUAACAUAGUAUAAACCGCCAUUCCGUGCAUCAAAUAGACAGAGCAAGAAUAUUAAAAUUCACCACUUUAAUGCAUGUGGCCUCAAGUAUAUGAAAAAAUCGAAAAUCAAACUUUUUUUUCGAAAAAAUAUCAAAUUUCAUUUGUUUUCAUUAUAGUAAGUACAAACAACAACAAAAAGUCACAAAAAAGCAAAAAAAAAUACUUUUGGCCGCUCGCUUCUACACGCAGAAAAAUGUUUUGUAGAAUCAGCCUGUACGAGGUUUGAAUCAACAAAAAUUUUGUUGAAUAUAAUCAACGCCGAUUUUGCGUUGAAACAAACCUUGAUUUUCUCAAUUCAACAAAAUUCUUUUGCUGUUUUGAAAAAGCUGCUUUGACGUUUAGCGUUGAGUCAACAAAAAUCAUUAUUUUCAAAUCAACAAAACGUUUUGUUGAUUCAAAUUUGCCUUAUUUUUCUGCGUGUAUGGAAAUACCCCAUAGUGCACCUGUGCCUGCUGGGCCGUUUCACGCACCCGAUGCUCCACGUCGGUGGACAGAUUCCCGUACAGGCGGGGCCAGAACGAGAGGACCACUUUUACGACGUCCAGCUCCUAGUCCUUUUUGAGCAUCUUCUUCAGCACGAUCUGAAUGGUGUUGAACAGGUUCGUGGCGAUGUCCUUGCCGCCGUGGGUUUCGAUCUGGACAAAAUUCGAUACUUGCUGCUGUCCAGCGUUGUGAAUCCGAACAACGUCGGAACGGUGCUGCCCAACAUUUCCGCAAUCCGGUCACUGCUAGAAGGCUAGAAGGAACAGAGGAAAAAAACAGAAUCAACAUUGCGAAAUCGAUAAAUCAAGAGAAUGGAAAAGUGGAGAAAUUGAUUGACUUAUUCGGAACUGUAAUGCGCCUCACUCGUCGUCGUGCUGAGGGAAUUGAAAAAUAAGCCUCCGGUCCAGAUUUUCACCGCUGAGCCCGAAUCUACGCCAGCUUUGUUGUCUAAGAAGAACGAGAAGAAUCUUUCGCUACUUUAAGAAAGAAGAGGAAGUCAUCGUGAGCAACUGGUGUGAAACGCAACCACGCUUACCACUGCAUCACCUAUCCCUCCAAUUUUUGUUACGAAAAAUUCAAAGCACUCGUGAUUCAGGGGACACUCUAGUGUUUAGUUUCCAUUAAAAGAAAACGUGGAACAAAAUUGUUGUUUGGUGUUAUUUUUGCAUUAUUAUGACGAUUUGAGUCAAGUGCUCAGUGCUCCAUCGUUUUUCGAUUUUUUUUCGCCGUAAAUUACCGUGAUUACCCGCGAGUUUGCUCCUGCAGCAUGCCAAAGGCCGGCCGUGGCCGUGGCAGUUCGAGUGCGGCCUCGAAAAACCCGCGAAGUUCGUCUACCGGCCGUGUGCAAAAAGGUAAACAAACCAACGCCGUGUCGACCGCCAUCGCGCAGGGGAGCGUGAGCGCAGAAGGCAUCGACAAAAAGUUGCUACAUCCCGGAUAUGUUUCGAGAUCACCAGUGCGAACCCGUUCCGGUACCUCCGGUGCCCCAACCAGUGGCACAUCAACAUCCGCCAACAUCCCCAUCAGGAACGAGUUCCAGAUGCUGAGCGACGACGAAGAAAACAACAACACCGACGGUAGCAGCACUACCGACGACGACGACGACGAUCGUCGUGCACGGAAAAAAGUGCCGACGCCAAAAACGAACAAUUCCCCAAAGGAACGUAGACCACCUCCAAUUUUUGUUUUGGACACGUUGGUGGACGAUAUUGACGAGUUGCUGGAAGGCCUCGGAUAUUGUCUGAAAAUCGGUAAGUCGUCAGUGCAAGUCUACACAUUUGACAACAAGAACUUCGACCUGGUUGUGGAGAAAUUGAAGGGUAAAAACUUCAAGUUCUACACAUUCGACCUAGAGAUCAUAAAUAGGGAGACUGGACGAAGUGAAUUUGACGUACCCAAACAGACGCGAGUUUGACGUAUCCAAACGAGCAUUCGCCUUCACGCCCAGCAAAACUUAUCAGUGUUGCCAAGCUCAAAUCAUACGUUGCCAGAUCGAUUUAGCAUGCUCAGACCAGUCUCCCUAUUUAGGGUCUCUAAUUCGACCCCGUGCAGAAGACAGCCGUUAAGGUCGUCUUGAAGGGGUACCAAGACCGCCCGAUCUCCAACCUCAAGAAGGACCUCUCGGGUGCUGGAAUAACGCCGCGUGACAUAAAAGUCCUCUCGCGGAAGACAACAGUCACAGGUACACACACACUGUACCUGUUGUACUUCGACCGCGGCACCGUCAAGACUCAAGACCUGCGGCGAACUAAGGCGUUGGACGGGUUUUGGGUAAACUGGCGGUUCUACUCAAAGAACCCGUCGGACGCAGCACAAUGCCACCGUUGCCAGAAAUUCGGCCACGGCUCGCGGAACUGCAACCUCCCGCCCCGCUGUGUGAAGUGCGGUGAAACACACCUCUCUGAGGCGUGUGCACUGCCGUGCAAGGCGGACCUGGGGGACAAGGCAGAGCAAACAAAGGCGCGCAUCAAGUGCGCCAACUGUGGCGCCAACCAUACCAGCAACUACCGUGGAUGCAGUGCAUGAAAAAAUUACCUCGAGGAACAGGAAAAGAGGAAGAAGAAAGCAGCAGCAUCCCACCCUCCUCAGCGAAGUACGAGCGUAACCGUGCCGGCUGCUGGGCAGCGUACGGUUCCAGCGGACAACUCAGCAUUCCCCCCUGGCUGGGGCGAUCGUUUGCCAGCGUGGUUGCUGCCGGUAGCGGCAAUGCGGCCCAGCAAGAAGUCACCGGGGAAGAUCUCUUCACCCUGCCAGAGUUCUUUGCUCUCGCGGGGGAGCUGAUGUCGAGGUUUCGGACCUGCCGUAACAAGGCGGAGCAAUUUCUAGCCCUUGGGGAAUUAAUGAUCAAGCACAUCUACAAAGGAUAAAAUACUGUGAUUUAGUUGUAAGCUUUUUCUCUUUCUUUCCCUUUUACUUUGCAAUUUUAGCAAGUUUUUUUUUUAAUUUUUCUUGCUCUUGUUAGUGCCAUAGUUAUAGAAAUAAUUGUUCCAAAAUGGAUUAUGAUGCAACACACAGCUGAAAGGAACUCCAAAACUCUGUUAUGAACUGCAAAAGAACUGAUUGUAUCUUGAUUAUUCACCAAUAAAGCCGAAUUGAAAAAAAUUAUGACGAUUUAUAACAAUCAUUACCGGGACCGUGGUGUAGGGGUAAGCGUGAUUGCUUCUCACCCAGUCGGCCUGGGUUCGAUCCCAGACGGUCUCGGUGGCAUUUUUCGAGACGAGAUUUGUCUGAUCACGCCUUCCGUCGGAAGGGAAGUAAAUGUUGGCCCCGGACUAACCUAAAAAAAAAGGUUAGGUCGUUAGCUCAGUCCAGGAGUAGGAGUCGUCUCCCUGGGUCCUGUCUCGGUGGAGUCGCUGGUAGGCAGUUGGACUAACAAUCCAAAGGUCGUCAGUUCGAAUCCCGGGGUGGAUGGAAGCUAAGGUGUAAAAAGAGGUUUGCAAUUGCCUCAACAAUCAAGCCUUCGAAUACCUACCCAGUUAACUCAAUCCGAAUUCUGAAACGGAAUCUAGAGUGUCCAAUUUCCCGGGGUUACAAAAUUCCCGGGAAACGGGAAAUUUUUAACAAAUUUCCCGGGAAUUCCCGGGAAAUUUGAAAUUUAUCGAAAAUUGAUCUUAUCCUGCUUCUGAUUGAUAUUUUGCAACAAAAUUGUAUAGAACUGCAACUUUAAUGUUCAAAAUGAGUGUAGGGGUCGAAUCAUGGCUUGACUGCUUAUAACAAUCAUACAACUUUGUAAAAAAAAAUCUUAAUAUAUCAAUUGAUUUUUUUUUGUUAAGAAGUAUUAUUUGUUUAAAUCAAAUAUUGAAUCAGUGAGUAAAAUCCAUGCUUCUUAACCAUACAAAUGCUUUUAAAUUUGUCUCUGUUACCAUUUCAAAGGAAUACACACUAAAAAAUUGUGAAUAUUACACCUGACGUAAUCAUAAACUCAACCGACAUAAAAAGAACGUAUCGUAUUAUUUAACCUAAUUUUACAUCUGAUAAAACGUAAUCGGGACCAGAAUCGUCUAAAUUGAAAUAUUGUGAUUUUACAUUGACCACUCUGGUUGAUUUGAUGUAAUAUUCAGUCUUAUAUGAUGCACAUAGUUGGAGCGUCAAAAGAAAUGUAAUUUUACAGCAAAUGAAACACAAUUUUAGAGACUGACAGCUCUCACCAGGGUUACCAGGUCUGAAGAGUAAAAAAUCUGGCAAAAAAUCUGGGAAAAAUCUGGCAAGCCACUUUUCUCAAAGUAAUAAGUAAUUUUUUGUUCAAAAACUGUGUAUUUUAACUUUUUAUACAUUAUAGCUUUACAAAAUAAAAAAAAUACGUCAAUAAAACAAUGUGAGGAAGAAAUAGAAAAUUAUUUUUUUCUAAUUGGCGCGAAAAAAAUCUGGCAAUGCCAGAUUUAUCUGGCAACCUGGCACCCCUGGCUCUCACAAUCAUCGAUCGCAGCAGGCUUUGUCAAACGUCAGCCAUCUUUCAACAGUUUGCCGAGCAAAGUGCAAAACUGAUUGUUUGUGUGUCGUCGUUUUGCGCGCCCCAAAAAUGAAGGCAAAGGAAAACGUUGCCGGAUGAAUCACGGUGUAGAUUCCGGAACCAAUUCCGCUGGCCUUAUCGCAGGUGGUCAACAAGGUUUGAUUACAUCGUCGGUCGUCAUCCAGCCAAAUCCAGAGUUGAAGGGUUUAAUUGCAAGUAAGAGACUGCGGUUAAAAGUUGCCUACAAAACGAGCCAUGGCCACACUGAUCCAGCUGAACCAUGUAACCCGUUCCGUCUCUAGUGCUUUGUUCGAGCAAUUCAAGGCCACCAAUUCCUGCCAGUUUGUGUUUUCCUGGGACGGGAACAAAAGGACAGUGAACAGCGAAUAUUUUAAGUUAUUAGUGUUAAUAGUUCAGUGCAGGUGAUCAUGGUGAAGAAAACUUUCAAUUUAUUGUGAAAUAAAAAAAAACAAACUAUGAA